rnacentral:rRNA from 1 species
CUGGGUUGGGAUGAGUGGCGAACGGGUGAGUAACACGUGAGUAACCUGCCCUCUUCUUUGGGAUAACGGUCGGAAACGGCUGCUAAUACCGGGUAUUCACUGUCCUUCGCAUGGGGGGUGGGUGGAAAGGGUUUUUUUCUUGGUGGGGGAUGGGCUCGCGGCCUAUCAGCUUGUUGGUGGGGUGAUGGCUUACCAAGGCUUUGACGGGUAACCGGCCUGAGAGGGUGACCGGUCACAUUGGGACUGAGAUACGGCCCAG